CCACGGCGCAGACGGACCCGGUGGAAACUGGGGGCGGACUGCUGUGUUUGGCCUGCCGCUCAGAUGAUCAACUUCUACUUCCUCUCACCCCAAUUCCGAGUUGUGUAUAUCAACUUUGUCACUUUAGGCUGGGACACCUACCUGUCGUACUUGAAACACAGAGAUGACAGCCCCCACACUGAGCCUUUAUCAGACGGCAGUGCUGUGGAUGUACAGCAGGAAGCACUCCCACCGUCUAAACCUCUGGAGAAGAAGAAUAAUUAGAGUUGGACUGAAUGCUUGACUCUUAUGUCAUAUAUAUAUAUAUAUAUAGGAGGCCAAGAAUAUUUUGCUGUUUUUAUCAAACUUAUUUUUCGGCCUUUGCAAAAUUGCAAUACUGAACACAAAACAGAUUUAUUUCUUCUCAAACAAAUGGCUCCUCUCUCAAGUUUAAAACGACCACCUGUUCCUGCAUGAACUCAGAGGAGUUUUGGAUGCUAAAGUGGAAGUGCUGGAACACUUUUUUUAUUUAUAUCUGAAUGAUAUGCACUCCUUUAAGAAUAUUCAGGGAAGAAAAGCUGCUUUACUGCCUGUCAUGCGAUUUCCUCAGAUGGCAUGAGUGUAACCGCCGCCAUUAACAUGUCAUAACAUGGAUGGAGGGGUCAAACAAACACAACAGAAGCUGACCACUUUGUUUCCAGUGUGUUCCAGACAUCAACUCUGACAUAUUAGUGUACUUAAAUUACAUGAUACUUUUUUACAUAAUGUUAUUUUGACCUAACUAUCAUCUUUCCAUACCUAAUCAAGUCGUAAGAAUUGACAACAUUGCCCUGUUUUAAACGCGAAAUGUUCAUAUGUAUGUAACAACAUGUUGGUAUUGAGAACAUGACGUUAAACGACACGAGGUAAAAUGCGUUCAAUGACACGGUAAAUGUUGUUUAAGCAGCACGCUUUACGCCUUACCAUGAGCUCAUGUUGCGUUUUUAGUGUGAAGCUUUUGUGAAGAUUUCAACUGUCAAAUUUCCAAUAGAGUGGCAUUCCUUUAUAUUUUUUAUAUUUCUCGUUUGACAUAAAAUAUAAAACAGCUAUGAUUUUAUUAUCAUAUUUACGUGUGCUAUCCUUGCCUUAAUAUGUAGACUGGUGCUACAACAUGUUUUCAUGCCAAAUAACCCUGUCUGCAGUUACUCCCUUUGAGGUACCGAUAAAAAUACCUCACUUUGUGAUUACGCUCAUAUUCUAUAAAAUAAAAUAUUUACUAAAUUGUUAUCAUAUCAAACUGAUUCCUCAGAUAAAUGUGUGGACUUGAUUCAAGACACGCUGAAGAUGUGGAAUUCAUUUAUUUUUCAAACUGCAGUGUUUUUUACUAUAUCGAUGUGUGACUUGAUGAACUGUACUGUAACUCUACAGCUGUUGAUUUAUGAAUGAAGCACUCUUAGUUUUGGCAUAUCAGGUGAAUAAUCAGUAUUUUUGUUGAUAGACAUGAUGUUGACAUGAAAGUGGAAAUCUGUGAAGCAAUACUGUAAAUAUAUUUAAUUUCUUUGUUCAAAUCA